rnacentral:misc_RNA from 1 species
CUUAGAUUUUUAUUAUGUGGUAUAAUCAACCCAGGGCAAGAUAAUUUGUUAUAAAAAUAUGUGUUGUUUUUCAUGAUUUUUGCAUCAUUAACAUUAAAAUUACAGAUUGCUUCAACAUAUAUCCUUAAUAAAAGCUUUAUUCAAUUAGCUUGUCAAAAGGAUUUCAAAGGAUUUAUCUAGCUUUUAUGGGAAAAAAAUAAAG